UGUAUUUAACGCAGCUCUGAGUAAUGAAGCGAGGAAUAUCGUUACGAGUAAAACUAUUUGGUACUGUUUCGGAAUUGGGACGCCCUACAAGUUCAUUUAUCGAAUACUAACGUGGAUCUUGCAUUACAUGCCUGCUGUCAUGGUCGAUGGAAUCUGCAGGUUAUUUGGACAGAAACCAAGAUUAAUCCAAGUGUACAAAAAGGUGUCCUCACUGUCAUCGGUUCUCCAGUACUUCCUUAAUAAUGACUGGGUAUUUCAAGACACUAACACCCUCAGCAUGUCCAACAGCUUGUCACAGACGGACAAAUUGAUUUACAAUUGUGACUUAGCGUCUGUAAAUGCACGUGAACUAUAUUAUAUAUGGGCCUAUGGCAUAGGAAGAUUCAUCGUCAAAGAUGACACCAAACUAAGAAAGUACGCUCAAAGCAAGCAGACUGUUUUAAAAUAUAUACAUUAUCUAGUCUUUCCUGUUUAUUUAUAUACAUUGCUUAAAAUAGCAUUACUGGUUGUAAAGAUUAUAUCACAUGUUACAAAAAGAAAAGAUAUAUAUUUUAAAAUCAUUAAAAGUUGUACAUUGUGUUAGUAAAAUGAGAUACGUAUAUAAAUUAUAUGCGUAUCUUAUUUUAUAAGAUAUAAAUAUUCAAGAUUUUUAAUUGGAUAUAGUUAUUUGUUAAAUAAAUUGUUUUUUUUGUGUGUAUUUUUUCAAUAUGUUUGAAUAACAAAUCAUAACUUUUUUUUUAAACAACUAGACAUUAUAGACAAAGACAUCAACAUAGACAUCAUGUGAACAGUGUAACUUGUAAAGCUGCUAGGAUGUUGGGUUUUGUCAAGAGAAAUGCUGGAGAUUGCCUGGUUCGUAGUCACCUCGAGUAUGGUAGUGUUGUGUGGAGCCCGUCGUGUGUUGUGCAUUCGCAGAGGCUAGAGGGUAUCCAGAGAGCUUUCACUAGAUACCUGGCUUUCACGUCUCCAGGAAUUUCACAUAGAAGUUCCUAUGAUCAGCACUUAGAUCACUUUGGCUUAAUUACGUUAAGAGACAGACGCAAACUGCUCGACCUUCUGUUCCUGUAUAAGGUAAUCAAUGGUUCCAUGGACUCUGCUGGUAUUCUGUCUCGGGUGAAUCUAUGUGUCCCUUAUAAUAUUCCUCGCAAGCCUCUCUCUCACAUUUUUGAAUGUUCUCGUAAUAGGACCAAUCUAGGACGCCAUUCUCCCGUUAACAGAAUUUGCGUGGAAUAUGGCGAGCUGUGCAGCCGGGCGCCAGAUGUGGACAUUUUUAGCGAUUUUUGCGUAAAUUUAAAUUUCAAAUACUGAAAUCAAUAGCGGGCUGUAAUUAGAUAUAUUUUUCCCUCUUUUUUCCUCUUUGUCCUAAUAAACCCAUUUUAUAA